GAAGCGAGCCAGACCGCCGCCGGUGCGAGGCCCGAAAGGGCGCACGGGAGGAAGGUCCGGACUGCGCAGGGCGGCGUAGCAGCUAACGGCUGUCCACCGCGAGGUGAGGAUCAGAGCAACAGAGACGAGUCCCUUGGGGCCGGGGUGGCGGCGCAAGCCGGCGCCACGGGCGCCAAGGGGGUGAAACGGGCAAUCUCUACGCGCAGCAAUACCAAAUAGGCACACGAUGACUCGGCCCGAGGAGUGUGCGGGUAGGUAGCACCGAGCCGUGCAGCGAUGCAUGGCCCAGAGGAAUGGCGGUCACGGCCGGCGCUUCGCGAGAGGCGCCGGCCGCACAGAAUCCGGCCUAUCGGCUCGCUUCACAC
rnacentral:RNase_P_RNA from 1 species